rnacentral:misc_RNA from 1 species
AAGUCGUAACAAGGUUUCCGUAGGUGAACCUGCGGAAGGAUCAUUACCAAAUCCAAAAAAACUUAUUAUCAACACCCCUUUUGUGCACCGAGAAUGGUUCCGUUCCUCUUUUUCUCCCCCCUGCUUCUGCUCUCCUUGCGCAGAGGUGGAUAGGGCGGGAGAGAGAGAGGAAUGUCACUUUUUUUUUUCAACCCCUUUCCAACCAUUUCCAAAAAAAACAUAUAAUGUAUGCUGAAAGCAAAAACAAAAACGAAACAUGAGACAACUUUUAACGGUGGAUCUCUUGGCUCGU